AUUGAACGCUGGCGGCAUGCCUUACACAUGCAAGUCGAACGGUAACGGGCCUUCGGGUGCCGACGAGUGGCGAACGGGUGAGUAAUACAUCGGAACGUGCCCGAUCGUGGGGGAUAACGAGGCGAAAGCUUUGCUAAUACCGCAUACGAUCUACGGAUGAAAGCAGGGGACCGCAAGGCCUUGCGCGGACGGAGCGGCCGAUGGCAGAUUGGGUAGUUGGUGGGAUAAAAGCUUACCAAGCCGACGAUCUGUAGCUGGUCUGAGAGGAUGAUCAGCCACACUGGGACUGAGACACGGCCCAGACUCCUACGGGAGGCAGCAGUGGGGAAUUUUGGAUAAUGGGCGCAAGCCUGAUCCAGCCAUGCCGCGUGCAGGAUGAAGGCCUUCGGGUUGUAAACUGCUUUUGUACGGAACGAAAAGCCUUCUUUUAAUACAGGAGGGUCAUGACGGUACCGUAAGAAUAAGCACCGGCUAACUACGUG
rnacentral:rRNA from 1 species